rnacentral:rRNA from 1 species
GACGAACGCUGGCGGCGUGCCUAAUACAUGCAAGUUGAGCGCUGAAGGUUGGUACUUGUACCAACUGGAUGAGCAGCGAACGGGUGGGUAACGCGUGGGGAAUCUGCCUUUGGGCGGGGGACAACAUUUGGAAACGAAUGCUAAUACCGCAUAAAAACUUUAAACACAAGUUUUAAGUUUGAAAGAUGCAAUUGCAUCACUCAAAGAUGAUCCCGCGUUGUAUUAGCUAGUUGGUGAGGUAAAGGCUCACCAAGGCGAUGAUACAUAGCCGACCUGAGAGGGUGAUCGGCCACAUUGGGACUGAGACACGGCCCAAACUCCUACGGGAGGCAGCAGUAGGGAAUCUUCGGCAAUGGACGAAAGUCUGACCGAGCAACGCCGCGUGAGUGAAGAAGGUUUUCGGAUCGUAAAACUCUGUUGGUAGAGAAGAACGUUGGUGAGAGUGGAAAGCUCAUCAAGUGACGGUAACUACCCAGAAAGGGACGGCUAACUACGUG